UGUGUGUGUGUGUGUGUGUGUAAAUACACACACACACAACACUCACAUC
rnacentral:miRNA from 1 species